rnacentral:rRNA from 1 species
GAUGAACGCUGGCGGCGUGCUUAACACAUGCAAGUCGAGCGGAAAGGCCCUGCUUUUGUGGGUUUCACGAUAGGGGAGCAGGGGAGUGUCACACGUGUAUCCUGCCCCUGUCUUUGGGAUAUCUUCACGAGACUCGGGCUCUUACCGGGUAGAAUCUCCUGCUGCAUGGUGUGGAUUGGUAAGUGCCGGCGGUUGUGGAUGGACUCGAUGCUUAUCCGCUUGUUGGGCUGGUAGUUGCUUACCAGGCCUUUGACGGGUAGCCGGCAUGAGAGGGUGACCGGCGACAAGGGGACUGCGAGACGGCGCAGACUCCUAUGGGAGGCAGUAGUGGGAAACAUGGCAGAAUGGGGGGAAGCCUGAUGUAGCAACGCCGCGUGCGGGAUGACCUCCUUCGGGUGGUAAACCGCUGUCGCAUGUGACGAAGCGUGCGUGACGGUAAUGGGUAAAGAAGCACCGGCUAACUACGUG